GCAGCGAUAGCUCAGAUGGUAGAGCACUGGUUUGAAGAGCCGGGUGUCGCAGGUUCGAUUCCUGUUCGCUGCACCA
rnacentral:tRNA from 1 species